GAAAAAAAAAAAAAAAGACCCGCAUUUCCUUUUUGACUUAAGAGGGAGAGAGAGAGAGAGAGAAGCGGAGGCUGGGGGCUGGAGGACGCAUCGAGCUAUCCCUCGUCCCGAUUGUGAACUUGGCAGCGACUGCUCAGCGUGAAUAACCCCAGUGGCCACUAACCAGGAACACCUGCUGGCCCCACUACCCGGAACAGGAGGAGAAGAUGGGCAUCUCCAGCGGAAUUCCACCGCGGAAUAUGGAAGUGUUUAAAGGAAGACCUUCCCCACUCAGGGUAGCAGAGACCUGAACCUUUAAAUUGCAGCCAUUCCCGGCCUGACGAUAACUUUUCUUGAAGCCAUGGCAGGAGCUGUGCUCGAAAUGGUGCCGUGGGAGUCUGUAUCCCAGGUCAGGAGACCAGACAUCAAAUCCCUGGUGCAUCUUGGCAGCUGGGAACGCUCCACAAAGCAGGAAUGCUCCAGCAAACCCUGCCAAAGCAGCUGCUGGGAGCACAUCACCAAAGGUACAAAUGACUGUGGUAUGUCCAUUUGAUCAAGUGCCAGAAUGUGAAACUGAAACACCAGUGUUUUCAUCUUGCUAUAAUUGGAAUCUUUUAAGACAAGAUUCCAGCUUUUGAAGGUGUUCACUGCAAGGUUUCAGUUCUUUCCCAUCAAGAUUUCAAUGCUAAUACAUAAAAUAUUAAACUCAACGUUGGCCGCCUUCCUCUUCCAUUGAACUCAACGGGGAUUUAAUUCUUUGAUUUCAAUCAGGACAAUGUUUAGCACUUUUGGCUGCCCAAAAACCACUGUGGUCCAACCACCUGCUCUGGAUCUGCAGGCUGAGCUCCACAGGUGUUACCAACCCUUCCCAAGCCAUCACUUGUCUGGAAACAGGAAUUUCUCUCUGGGUUGAACAAAUUAUGGUGACCUGAAACACGACUGAUACUUGGGGCUUCUUGGGAGCAGCCCUGCCAGGGAGGAAGCUGAAGGCUGGUAAUUUUUUGGGAUGAUAACGAAAUCUUUUAAUGAAAGGGAGGGGUUUGGCCUCCAAGGGCUUUGCCUCAGGGAGAGGGUGUGAAGGGGAGCAGCCCCUGAGCCCCGGGUUUGCCAUGCUGGCUGGGAGGCCGUGAGAAGAAUGAUGUUUGUACCCCUGCCAAGCCCUUCCCUGCUGCUCUUGGAGAAACCAAGCUGCAAAAAGCUCUUUCCUGCAGAGUGUCGCAAGGACUGUCUUGAAUUUGGCUUCAGGAAAUAGUUCAAUUCUUUUAUUUAUUGGGUUUUUUUAAAUCUAGCUUGCUCCACGUUAUUAAAAAAAAAAGAUAUGAUUUCUAUGGAUCUGUUGCAUGGGGCAGGAGAUCUACAUCACCUACAGGGAUGGUGAUGGGGUGGCAAUUUCUCUGUGCUGGAGCAACCAGUCAGCCUUAGUUUAAAUCCCUUCCUUCAUCCAGUGCAACAAUAAUAUUUUUUGGACAAGGGAUUUUGGAAAAGUUGAAAUGUUUGCUUUACAAAACAGACAUAAAAUUUCUCCUUCAAGGUGCUAAAUAUGUGCUGAGCUGGUCCAAAACACGACUGCAUCUGGCUGUGUCUCGUGUCUGCCACUAAAAAAAUGUCCUAAAUUCCAGACAACCUCUGGGGCUUUGAAAUAAAACUCAUUAAUCCUGCAUUUGAAUUUAAUAUUUGAAAUUUUAUCCUAAUCUUUUUUUUUUUUUCUUCCACAUGAAUUAACUUUAGAAUACUUGGAAAGGAGUACAAGGGUGGGUUUUUUUUUCUUCUUUUUUUUUUUUUUUUUUUUUGAGAGAGAGAGAGAGAGAGGGAGAACAUUCUUAACAAAGGGUAUAAAAUUAAACUAAAUUUGACCUCUGCCUUUAGCAGAUUUUCCACCUGGUCUGUGCAGGAAAUCAACUUCUAUAUAGCAGCUCUUUCAUAAGGAAUAACAUACAUGAGUCUGUAAGUGACAGUUUUUCUUGGGUGGACAACAAUGUUAGUUACUUUUUAUGAUUAAUUGAUAAAUGUUUUGAUAUGGUGCCUGGGCUCGGAGUCAAAAAUCACUCCAGUUAGAUGAUCCAACACUUGGGAAGCUGAGCCAAUUACAGCUCAGGCACAGUGAAAACAAUUCUAAAAUAUUUGAGCCUAAAAAUGUGCAUAGUUGUUAAGGAAUCUUACAUGUGGGUGUAUGGUGGUAUCCUGAAUUACAGCGACUUGGUGGGCCAAUUUCUUCAGGAAUGCAGGGAAGCGCAGGGAUUCGAGACUCUUGCAUCUAUAUUUCAAAAGACUUGGGAAAACAGAAGAACCACAUGGGCUCUUGUGGCUGGGCACGUGCUGAGGAAAACCAGAGCAUGGGCCAAAAUGUACUUUUAGUCCCUUGGGUUGCACAAAUCCCUUUGCUUUUUUGGGAAGGUUUUAGGUUUCCAGUCUCCUUCCCUUGACUCUUAACCUCCUCUGAGCUUGCUCUUUUCUUUUUUUAGGCUCCAGAACUUACUUUCUACACCAGGCUUCCAACUUUCAUCCUCAGAUUUGCACCCUGAUGGAUUUUUAAAUGGUCCACGAGGAGAAGGAUUUCGUGUCUGUGAUCAGGUUGCCCCUACCAGCAGGGUGGGCUGGACUCAGAGGUUUUAGGUACAGCCCAGCACCAAAAAAACGACAUUAGACACAGCUCUUGACGGGCCUCCAAAAGAAUAAACUCAUUUGUGAUUAGAGUUUAUUUUCUCAGAUUUUUUGGGAGAAAGAAAAAGCAUUGUCUUUUUCAUUCUACAGGUGAGUGAAUACAGAGGCAUUUUUUUCAGUAGGAUUUUGGGGUCAUCAACUCAAAGACCAUUUGGAAAACUCCCUGUUGCAAAUUGCUGAUGCCUUCGUGUGUGACAGAGCUGUUCCCAACCAAGUCAGUGGAAACAGAAUAUCUGUUUUCUUUUCUGGUUCCCCUAGCCUUCAAUUCCUAAAAUGUUACAUGGAAAUUUUGAGCGAAGCACGCCUGGAAUUCAGUGCCACCAGAGAUCUAGAAACUGAGAGGCAAAUCCUGAGCUUCAGAAAUCUCAGGGGUUUUUGAUUGUUCAGCAUCUUGUAAGGUUUUUGAUUGUUCAGCAUUUUGAUCUAAUCCUAGCCCCAAGCAUAUAAUUGUCUUCAAUGGAUUUUUAUUCCAAGGUCAAGCUUCACUUUAGAAAAAUUAAUGGAUACAGCUUCUGCUGGGGGCUGUUUGACAUCACUAAGGCCAUCAACUUCUGAAGGGCUUGAAGAUAUUUGAAUAGAAUUGGAUUUAGAAAUUAAUCCACUUUUUUAGAGCCCUUGACUCUUGAUACGUUGUGAAGGAAGUGAGGAGAGCUGAAGAAUAUAUUUUCAAAUGGAAGAGCAUCUUUCCUAUCCUUGUUUUCCAGUAAAGAUCCAGUCUGCUAUGUGGUUAAAAAUGCAAUUUCCCCAGAAGCUGUCUCAUUUCAAGUACGAUUUGAAUGGCAUGACACCCCUUCCCAACCCUCCCUCCAUCCCUGACACCCUGUUUUGAUCCUGGCUGCUGGAUCUAAACACACUCCUGCUUUCACUUUAUUUAACCCUGGUGGAUUUCAUCACUGCUGAUCCAAAAGGAAAAUUUCUACCAGCACACUGUAAGCUUUACUGCUCGUGACUUCUUAAUCAUGCAGAUUUUAUUUCAUGUUAAGCUAGCAACUGAACUCUUCUAAUAAACAGAGUAAAAUCUAA